GAGGGUAUAGCUCAAGAGGUAGAGCACAUGCUUUGCACACCCAAGGUCCUGGGUUCAAUCCCCAGUACCUCCU
rfam:Camelus ferus unplaced genomic scaffold scaffold916, whole genome shotgun sequence.